ACAGUGAUUAGUUUUGUUGAACUGUAAACCACAAUUUGUUACUCGGGUUGACAGAUUGGCUCACUAUUUGGUCCAAAAUGUUAAUGGAAAUACCUUCAUGAACGCGCAUUUUGGAUUCCAGGUCAUUUAAUUGGCAUAAAGUUCUUUUUAGAAUUUAUCUCCGUAUCAAUAAAUAAUGAAUGAGCACACCCAUAUUACCGCAUUCGGUUGUCUGAGGGUAUUUUGAUACGCCCAAGAUAGAGACGUGACUGGGAAAACGUUAAAAGGGUGAGCAAGCACAACGGGGUUGCCGGGAUAGUGGAAUAGUGUAAACCAAGAGUGGAUACUGACACCAACAGUGUAAACCAAAAGUGGGUACUGACACCAACAGUGUAAACCAAGAGUAGGUACUGACACCAACAGCGUAAACCAAGAGUGGGAACUGACACCAACAGUGUAAACCAAGAGUGGAUACAGACACCAACAACGUAAACCAAGAGUGGAUACUGACACCAACAACGUUAACCAAAAGUGGGUACUGACACCAACAGUGUAAACCAAAAGUGGGUACUGACACCAACAGUGUAAACCAAGAGUGGAUACUGACACCAACAGUGUAAACCAAAAGUGGGUACUGACACCAACAGUGUAAACCAAAAGUGGUUACUGACACCAACAGUGUAAACCAAGAGUGGAUACUGACACCAACAGUGUAAACCAAAAGUGGAUACUGACACCAACAGUGUAAACCAAGAGUGGGUACUGACACCAACAGUGUAAACCAAGAGUGGGUACUGACACCAACAGUGUAAACCAAGAGUGGGUACUGACACCAACAGUGUAAACCAAGAGUGGGUACUGACACCAACAGUGUAAACCAAGAGUGGGUACUGACACCAACAGUGUAAACCAAACAUGGUUACUGACACCAACAGUGUAAACCAAGAGUGGAUACUGACACCAACAGCGUAAACCAAGAGUGGAUACUGACACCAACAGUGUAAACCAAAA